AGAGCUAUCCUCCCUAGGAAACAAAUGUCCUCCACGGACAUUUUUGCCUGUCUCCCAAUACCACCCUGAUCCAAGGAAGGAAUGAAGGCUAAAAGGAGGAUUUUAUUACAAUUACUGACUUUCUGCCUUUUCCUGCUGCUGCUGGCAAAGAUCCACUUCAGGAACCACCAGGAAGAGGAACUUCUGCUCUCAGACUGGUUUAACCCCAGGAGACGCCUGGAUGUCAUCACGACCACAGACUGGCUGGCCCCCAUCAUAUGGGAAGGCACCUUUGACAGAAAGGUCCUGGAGACAUAUUUCAGGAAGCAGAACAUCACCGUGGGUUUGGCUGUGUUUGCUGUUGGCAGUCUCACUGACAAGUACCUGGACCCAUUCUUGCAAUCAGCCAGCAAGUUCUUCAUGCCUGGCUAUCGAGUGAUCUUCUACAUCAUGGUGGAUAAGUACCUGCAGCUACAAGAAAUGGAGCACAACCCUCUGCAAUCCUUUCAAGUACUCAAAAUAGGCAAGGAGAGGUGGUGGAGCAACUUUGACCUCAUGCGCAUGAAAAUCUUGUCUGAGCACAUCCGGGAUCACAUCAGAUAUGAAGUGGAUUUCCUCUUCAGCAUGAACAUCAACAUGGUCUUCCAAAACUGGAUGAAAAAGGGAGGUGCCCCUUAAACAGCCCUGAAGCAGCUGGAGGACCACUCUUACCAGCUAUGUUGAAGACGAGGGACUUUUGAAGCUGGAAUUUCUCCACAAGUCCCAGGACUCCGCCUCUCCACAGUGAACAUGAUAUUACUCAAAGGAUGUGUAGCCUGCCCAAAGCUUGCAGCUUCUCCAGCUGUUUGCCUCUGUGAAGGAUACCUGGCUCCUGAGCUGGACUUCCCUCUUCCACAGGGGACUCAGAUUUCCCAUGAAGUACUCACAGGAUCCUUGGUACUGGCCUUGGAGCUCAGUUGGGUGGAUGGUAACAUUAAAUCCUGUGCACAACCCCUCUCCUCUAGAAAGAAGAGACAUUUAUAUAUACCUCUGCCUGAGAGUGUAGCCGGCUCAGGACACAGAGAAACAUUGGCUGUGAUCCUGUCUGAGAGCCCUGAAUACCUCCCCAGGGUUCUCAGCUCCCAGUGUUUGGGAGCAGCCUUUAUUAGAGCUAGAGAGAUGGAGAGAGAGGGUGGUAGCCACAGGUACUGCUCACUGCAAGUAGUGGAAUGGGGUCUGAUUCACAGUUGCAUGGAACCAGACUUCCCAGAAGACGCUGAGCCCAGACUGUUCUUUGAGAGUUGGGUGUUGGGAUCAGGACUCUGACCUGUUUGUCUGUGGCUUCUCCUGCUUUAUACAGACGUGGUCCAUGUUUCCUGGGGCCCAGCCUGUUCGUGAACUCAUUAUAUAGCUAAGAACGACCUUAAAUUCAAGAUCAUCCUGCUUCAACUUCACAAAUCUGGGAUUAAAGAUAUGUGCCUCUAA